rnacentral:rRNA from 1 species
GACGAACGCUGGCGGCGUGCUUAACACAUGCAAGUCGAACGGAAAGGCCUGCUUUCCCUUGUGGAUUGCGGGUACUCGAGUGGCGAACGGGUGAGUAACACGUGAGUGAUCUGCCCCCAACUUGGGUAUAAGCCUGGGAAACUGGGUCUAAUUCCCGAUAGGACUGCAGGGUGGUGCCUGUGGUGGAAAACGAUUUUCUAGUGGUUGGGGAUGAGCUCGCGGCCUAUCAGCUUGUUGUUGGGUAGUGGCUUACCAAGGCUGUGACGGGUAGCCGGCCUGAGAGGGUGACCGGACACAUUGGGCCGAAGAUCCCGCCCAGCCUCCUACGGGAAGCAGCCGUGGGGAGUAGUCCACAAUGGGCGGGAGCCUGCUGCAGCAACGCCGCGUGCGGGAUGACGGCCUUCGGGUUGUAAACCGCUUUCGCCUUUGACGAAGCGUGAGUGACGGUAAUGGUAAAAGAAGCACCGGCUAACUACGUG